AAUGGGGGCAACCCUGAUCCAGCCAUGCCGCGUGAACGAUGAAGGCCUUAGGGUUGUAAAGUUCUUUCAGCUGGGAAGAUAAUGACGGUACCAGCAAAAGAAACCCCGGCUAACUCCGUGCCAGCAGCCGCGGUAAUACGGAGGGGGCUAGCGUUGUUCGGAAUUACUGGGCGUAAAGCGCGCGUAGGCGGGCUGUUAAGUCGGGGGUGAAAUCCCGGGGCUCAACCCCGGAACUGCCUCCGAUACUGGCAGCCUAGAGAUCGAGAGAGGCGAGUGGAAUUGCGAGUGUAGAGGUGAAAUUCGUAGAUAUUCGCAGGAACACCAGUGGCGAAGGCGGCUCGCUGGCUCGAUACUGACGCUGAGGUGCGAAAGCGUGGGGAGCAAACAGGAUU
rnacentral:rRNA from 1 species